CUUGCAAUCCAUUUUAAGAAUGCUUGAAAGAUUUAAAAAAGUCAUCGUAUUAAAACAUAAUAGUCAAGCAGAGAAUUAAAGACCACAUCAAUCUAGAUAUUUAUGUUUAAGCAAUAAUGAAAGACAUUUCAAACAGCUAACUUUGAAAACAUUGCUUCAACCUCAGUAAAUAUAUUAUUAGUAAUCAGCUUCACCACCUUAACAAUUUUAGAAGGGGAAAGGUUAACAAUUGACAAAAAUAAAAAAGCCUUGCUGCACUGACUGAACUACCCCUUUUCUCUGCAUAAGCAUUCAUUAUUUCUAGUGUCUGUGGAAGUUUGUAAAGUUUGCUACUUUUCCAUAUAGAUUUCAUUUUUUAUACCUCUGUCUUCAGCACUUGGAGUGAAAUGGUACUGCCCAGCUACUGUCCAGGUAGUUUCUGCUGGCAAAAGCAGUUCUCUGACCUACGUCAAAGUCAGGCAAGUUUGCACAAACCAUGUAUUUAAGAGCCCUUUUUUUCUUUUUUUUUUUUUUUUUUGCCUUGAGGUAUUUCACAAGGAAAAAUUUCAGCCACAGAUAGCAUUAAAAAUUUAAACCACUGCAGCUGCUUGUAAACUUCUACUCACAGUUGUAACUGUCCUCACUGAAUUAUUGGUGUAAAUUCAAUCUUGGGUUAAAAAUAAAUCAAUAAAUAAAUCCAGAUUUAAAGAACUGAAGUAUACAGCUACAGAUUCAGAGCAGCAUGCUGAUGUGCCCUGCUAAACUGUAUCAGAUCAAGCAUUUGCCAUCCACACAUCAAAUCCCAAUAGGCAUAUGGCUUUCAAGAAAGCUUGGAGGUACUAAUUUAAAAGCAGCAGAUUAUGGAUUAAGUCGUGUUCACUGGCAGAAGGAUGGGGUGGGGGAGCAAUCACUAGCCAAGCCAGCUGCUUUUGCCAAAUGCUGCAACUUGCAGAGCUGCACAGACAUUUCAAAAGCUACCCAGUGAAGUGAAACACUUAGAAGUGCUACCCCAUUGCUGUUGGUUUAGCACACUAGUCCUCCUCAUUUUUAACACAGUUCUUAAAAACAUUAAAACAAGGCCUCCCUAUAAAUUAUUCAGAGAAACACUUCAAAUUAGAGGGAGGUGAGUUGUGUAACACAAAACAAGAGCCAUCAGCAAGCCCAAACCUCUUACAGCUUUCCUCAGCUAAACUAAUCUCUGAAAGUUGACAGCAAAUUGAAAUCCAAGAAGAUAACUGACAGGUAUCCCACAGAGAAAUUGUAGCGGAGUAACAAAAAGUCUUUUUUACAAGUUCCUGUAAUCUAGACACAGAACUGCUACCAGAGGCUAUCGGCAGUGACAGGAAGUUUAGGUUUGGGAAAAAACUCCCCUGUAUUCCCCAAUACACAGCAAAACAUCUUCCAAAGCUUGUAACAUACAGCAAAUUAAAAAUAAAAACAAACAAACAAAACAAACAAACAACAACAACAAAAACACCAAAAAACCACACACAAUAAAAACCCACCAAAGUGGCAUCUGGCUUUAAUGGUUGCUAUCUAAUUUGCAGCUUUGGCUUGUACUGAAUGGUACUGAACUAAGCAUCCCAGAUUCAGAAAACCAAGGCCAUAUAAGAAGCUUUCUUGCAGAGCAGGGAUUAAGUUUUAAAAAGACACUAUAAUCUGGGUGCGGAAAGAUGAUUAUAAAUCAGAGAUCAAAGUUAGCACAGGAAAAGUUUAGUCAAUCAUUAAGAAAGAAAACAACCACCAGCACUACCCAAUACAUGAAUGAGUUAGAUUUAAGGCUGGUCACAGUUUCUUGAGUUGGAGGAGUGAGUCACUGUUGAUGACAUGACAGCAAAAUAAUAAAUAAAUAGUAAGUGAAGAAAUCGUGAGGGUAACAUUGGAAGAGUGGGGAAAGAAAGACUCUUUAAAUUGAGACAAGCAUCUCUGCAGUUUUCUAAAAAUAAUACAGAAGACAGAGCUUGAAGGAAGAUGACUGGAAGAGACGGAAAUGAGAUUUUUCAUCUCCACUGAGAGGACAAUGCACAUGGCACGUUGAAGCAGCUCUGGUAAGCAAUUUUUGCUGAAAUAGUUAAGGUGACAGCUGUGUUCCAGAUCAGUACCCAGUUAACCAGCUAUCACACUGAGCCAUCAACUAUUGUAAGUCUACAGGUUGUAGUUCUCACUGGCGAAGACAAGAAAAAUAAGCGUACAGGUAGUCAGUUUGCAAACCAGGCUGGUGGGAGUAAUGAGAAGUUCUGAGGAAAAGACGUUUUUUAUGCUCCAGAGACUCUGACACCAGUCCAAACCCACCAGAUCUCACUAAGCAGGACUAGGAAAUCCAGUUUCUCAAUCGCAGCCAGGGUUUAGAGUUUAGUACCACUGUAUCACUCCAAGCUGAGCCAGUACUGAAUGAGAGUUGCACACUAGCAAGCAAAAAAGCAGUUUAAAUAUAUAUGCUGAAUUGCAAAAGAAGAAAGGCUAAAACUGGGAGGUCAAGUAAAAACUUGUAAGCAAAUUGUACAUAGAAGCAAAUAUAUACCGCAGUGAAUCUCUCCUGAGAGAAGACACAGGCUGAAAGUCAUUUAGGAAUCACAUUUGGUUCUCAAAGACCCGCAAACUUCUCUUUUUAUACAUAACUAGACAUACUAUAAAAGCUGCCAUGGAUUCUGCAAUACCUCUUUUUCUUGCACCCUUGUAGCUCCGCCAUAAUCACGUGCAUAUGACAUUCAGUUAGCAAAUACUGCCUGUUUUGUGACCAAAUCAGUUCACCUCUGCGCAUGGCCCGUGCAGCACCCAAUUCCAGCAGCUGAGAAGCUGGACUAAACAGCCAAGCAGCAAAGCUGCUGCUUCACAGAGGUACCAGCUGUUUUCCUUAGUCUCAAGAGAUUUUUUCACAAAUUAUUUUCUCAAAAGGAUGGCUUAUUCAGACUGUUCAGAUACCAAACAAAAGCUUUUAAAACAUGCAAUGGGAUUAAUUUACUUAAGCCCUCUGCUGACAUACAGUGCAGCUGAUAAAUUUACCAAUUACUGUACAAGAACACUUACUGGUAUACAUGGGAUACACUACAAUGUGCAUGCAGCUUGAAAUAUUUUAAGCACAUUACAACAGUAAUAAUUAUUUGCAGGCUACAACUACUAUUCCUAACUGGACUGCUUUCCUCAGGAGGAAAUAGUUCUCAGGAGAGAAAGGUAUUUUAGUGUCUCUUCUUAGGUUUUAAGUGUUUAUAAAUUCCCAAACUUCAGACAAGAAGAGGGGUCCCGACUGCACCUUAUUAUUCACUGCACAGGAAAAACCUGUAUGAAUGCAGUCAGCUGAACACUCUGCAAGGGAAGAUUCUAUUCAGAAGAAAAACAAUGAAGUCUUUUGAGGAAGAAGUAAUAAAGAUGCUCUUGGUUCUACUUCUCCUCCUUGCUCUCCUCUCUUUUUACUUGAUGUGCCUUAUGCUUAAAUUAUGUUUACACUGAGUUUAUUCUUGACCUUACAAGAAAAUAGUAUUUUUAAAAAAAAAAAAAAAGGAAAUAGGUGUUCUUCCUGCAUGCCUUUCCACAGAUGUCUUAGUUUGACCAUAGCCUCUACAUAUAAAAGGGCACAGCAAAAGAGAUUUCUACAUAAAUAUUUUUAAAUCUGCUGUUGAUGCCAGAAUUUAAGAAUGCAUCAUCCAUGUCACGGCCCUUACAGAAACUAAUUUACAAUUGUCUUACAGAAGUCAUUACAAAGGAAGCCAUCAGAGCCAGGAUAACACCAGCACUUAAAGAUACUUAAUGCUGCUGGGUUUGCCUGCAGAGUUAGAUGUAAGAGGGCCACAGCAGGCCCCGAUGUCUGAAAAAAAGAAGUGCCAACACUGUAAAUAACUGCAGCCCUCAGAUACUGCAAUCUAAAGUAACAAGGAUAAUUUUUAUGUCUGUGAUUUUUAUGCAAAAUGGCUCUGCAAUAUUUACUUGAUUUUAUAACCUUAAAUCACAUCUUCUAAGUAUUUUUCUGUUAAUAUAUCAAAGGAACGAUCUUAUUUUUUCAACACAUCUUCUACAUGCAUCUUAAAUAAAGAAAACAGGUGGCAUGUCAGAGAUCCUCAUGAAGUAACAGUUUUAUUGUACCGAUAUGCCUUUAGGUGAUGAGUGUUCAGUCAGUGCAGAAAUCACUGACAGAAGUGGUACAAAACUGCAAAAUUACAAAUUAACACCUACUAUCAGAUUACUGUAGCCAAAGAUGCCGAAACUGAGUCACAGGCAGAUAGCAUAAGAUAAACCACCAAAGGUCUGUGGAGAAAGUUAAUUCAUAAAACAGGAUAUGGAACUGUUUAACAAGGUACAAACUUAGCAUUUCCAUAUGAGGACAAAGAUAAACCAACCACGGAUUACAAAGCAAACAUACAAACUAAAGUCAAGGGUACUGCUUCAACAAAACAUCACCAUGUAAAUCUCAAAAUAUACUGCAUAAAAAUAAUUUUAAAAUAAUCUAGAGUGUUUUAAAGUUUUUAUGCAGUGAAUUAAAUUGUCCUGGGAGAUGCAGAGGCUUUUCCUUUCUAGGCUACCAGUUAAACCAAUUUCAGGUUUCAAAACCUAAAUGAUAUAUCUGUCCAGAGGCAUAAUUAUUAAGGCAGGAAGAUGAGAUGUUAUGGGGGUUAUUUUACACAACAGUUCACCAAAAGAAAAAAAAAAAAAAAAAAAAAAAAAAGCUGGAAAACUGCAACUGGUUAUAAAACACAAGUAUAUGCCCAUGGAAAACUGCUAUUUGGUAUCUGCGUUCUUGUAAUAGAACAAAGUCACAACUGAAGUAAACUCCAUUUUAAGAUACUGACAUGCUGUAAUUUAAAUGCUGUAAUUUGUUGUCCUGGGCAAACAUUUUGUUGUCUAGCAAAAAAGCACUUUCCUAGGCAGGCUCAUUCUGCUUUGGGUGCUGCACACCUCCAUCCCUCUCCUGUCUGAGUUCUUAACACAUCUCAUUGGGUCAACCACACGGACCACCCCAGGGCAUCACAGGUGGUGCAAUUAAUGUAGAAAAAAAAAAAAAAAAACCACACCCAAACAUCUCACUCGAGAAUGACUUAUGAAGCCACUUCCAGAGAGGAAGCUUACUCAUUUCUGUGGGUAAGUCAAGCUCUGACAGAUGAGCUCCUCCUGCCGAGGCGGCAAACUGGGCACACCUGGGGGUGUAGGGACUUUGGAGCCCUACCGCUGAGACCGGUGGUGCACCAGCGCUUGGUGACACCGGUACCACCAACCCUGGGACAUCUGGACACAGCCUUGGGCAGCAACCGCUUCGGACUCGCUCCGCAGGCACUUUUGUCUAGAGUUUUCCUCAGCCUGCAGAAGCCCUUGGUGAAGCGCAGUGCUUCAUUAUUUUCCCCACCCUUGUACAUGCCUUCCAGUACAACUUCGAGCUUCACCAAAGAGAAAAACUGUAGUGAAUCACUUGUGAUUGUGAUUCUUGCAAGUUAUGGAUCUUUUCCCACAUGGAUGUUGGAGGCUUUCUUGCACUCCCUUUAAAAUAGCAUAACCACAGGGAACAGGCACUGUAUGGGGGUGUUAUCUGAUACCCAUCUCAUUAUCUCCACAAAAUAACAACUCCUCUAAAGUAUAUUGCUGAGUUUGAAGAACUUUUAUGUUCACACUCCCGGGGUUAUUUUAAUGAGACUGAAAAGUUAAGAACCUUUACGGGAAAACUCCAGCUUCAGAUGAACUAAGGGAGGAGGCAAGACUUCUUGACAGCAUGGACACAGAGAGUCUGAAUCUGAAGGCCAGAAAUACAAAUAAAUCAUAAUCGUUUGCUCCAUUUCUGAUUAUAAAUACAUUUAAAUUGUGGCUCAGCAUACUCAGGAUACUCUAUGUCAUUUGUCUGUGAAGUUAAGGUCAAGGAUAUACUACUCUACAUUUGGGGGGAAGAGGCGUCAGUAAAACAUCUUUAAGCAGAACCAAAGCUGGUAGAAACAGGCUUUCUCUAGAAUACCUCAAUUCAACAGAGCACACACAAAAAAUUUUGAAGUUGUUGCAUACAUCAUCAACUCACUGCCUCUCCCCUGGACCAGAUGGUGUAGUAUUCUGUUCAAUGUAUUUGAACCCUGCCUCAAAUGUCUUUAAAGGAUUUUAAAAUUCUGUAAUGGGAGAGAGAAGUUCUAUUAGAGAAAGUAUAUAGGGAAGCCAACGUUUGCCAGUGCUUGUCUAGCAAACAGCUGUUUGGAGAAAUGUGAAGAUGUGAGACUCUUCAGGGGAGUAAAGUGAGAAACUGGGAGGCAAUUUGUGAAAGGAGAUGCGUUCUCCUCUUUUCAGGAAGGGCAGGAGCACUCCAUUGUUGAAAAUCUAAUUUUCCAGAAAAAAAUAACCAUAUGUCACAAGUGGCCAUUUGUGCUGUAUCCACUUGUAACUUAACAUCCUUGAAAUGAGCCAGUCACAAAGUUGUAAAGUAUUAUCCUUAGGUGAGCUUUCAGGUUAAAACAUGUGGGAUGAGUAAGAGAACUCACCAACUCCUGCUGAGUUUCCAGACAGCUUGAAACAGAGAGAUUCAGUAAUUCUCAUAAAAGUAACUAAUAACUUUAGAAACUUAAUUAAAAAUAAGCUUCAGGUUUUUGACCAGAUGAUGCGGCUAUCUAUGUAUUUGCAUCAUACAUCUGCUGAUACAAUAUCCUUUAUGCAGAAGACCAGGUACCACAUUUAACUCUCUGCCAGUCUCGUUUAACCCGUCUGCUCCUUGUGAACACAUAUUACCUUAUAUUCAUAGCUGAGGGAAAGAAAGUUCCAUUAUAUAAAGAAGUAUCACCAGGCACUGAAGGAAUGUGAAUACAUUGAAGUAGAGAGCUUCCUAGUAAAAGCUUUUGCUUGGCGAGUCCCCCCACCCAGGAUAAAUUUAUACAUCCUUGCAUGCAGGUGCCAGAAAGAUGAAAAAAAAUCCCCAUCGGUCUGGUAUGCUGGUUUGCAUUUGGGUUUCCUCUACCUUUUUUUUUUUUUUAAUCAACA